CCAGAGAGAGUCUCAACACAGUGGUCCCUCGGAGAGCCCCUGGCAGAGCCCUGCAGAAGCAGCAGCAGAGGCUGCACCGGGAGUGAUACAGUAUCCAGUUCUUCUCUCUGCCGGGGAGCGCUGUGGCAGCAGGACCAGAGGGGGGCUGCUUGUGUGGAGACUCCAAGCCUGGGAAGAUCUGCCUGCAGCCCAGUGUGGCUGGGUGAGCACAGCAGAGCCAGGGGGAGACUGCUGGAGACUGCCCUGUUUUCCCUGGUGGGUGAGGGGCCCCAGGGGCAGGCAAGGCCCAGGGCGGGGGCUGUGUUUGCCAGGCCUGUGAGGCUGUGCGGGUCAGGAGAGCUGCAGCCCAGACACUGCUCCCUGGUGAGCCAGGGAAGGGGGGUCAGAGGCAGGGGGAGGCUGUCUUGCAGGGACUGCAGAGGAGGAGCUGCCACCUGCUGCCCGGAGACCUCUGGAGCACGGAGAGGGACACCAGCACCAGGGUGUGCCCACAGACCUUGCACAGGGACACAGACAGUCCCGCUCCCUGAGACACCCCGCCAGGGGCAGUGUACACAGGAUCCCCAGUAUACCGUGUGCAGCCCCAGAUGGAUUGAUCCUGAAACUUCCAGCUCUGGUUUGCUUCAGUGGGCUAAAAUCAAGCUGCAAGUCAUCUCUGUCUAUAUAAAUAAGUAAUGUAUAUAUAUAGAUCAUAUUUUCAUCCAGUGCCCUUUGUGAGUUAUGCAUUUACAAACAGUGACCUGUUGCAGCAUUUUACUGUCUUGAGAAUUUACUCCAUGAGAUAUACCAAGAAAUGAUAAGUAAACAUCUAUUUAGUGAAUGUCUCCACAGACAACCUUUUAACAUGUGGAAGAUUACUUCUAAGAAAGCCCUGAAAUAUGUAUAUUAAAACAUAAUGAUCCUUGUUUAAUGGUGUCUCCUUUUGGUUAAAAAGACUUGUGUGGUUAUGUGGUAUGUCAUUUUGACUUUCAAAAGCAAGUUUCUUUUGUUCUAUAAAUACAAACUGUCCAAAAUAAAGACUUUCUAUUAUGGCU